UGAGAAUCUCUCACUGUUACUGCAGCAAGC
rnacentral:piRNA from 2 species